GCCGGUAUAGCUCAGUUGGUAGAGCAACUGAUUUGUAAUCAGUAGGUCGGGAGUUCGAGUCACUCUGCCGGCACCA
rnacentral:tRNA from 1 species